AUGACCGCCGAGAAAGGGAAGACGAGAAUGGCGGCGGAGGUGAGCUCCAUCGCCAGGAUGCUCCGCGGGGAGGCGGGGAAUGGUAGGGGCGGCGCCGCGAAGCCGUCGGAGAUGGUGACCAUGGAUCUGCUCGGCGGGUGCGGCGGCGACGCCGGCGUGGAGGAUGACGUCGUCGACCUAGAGGUCAAGGUGCCCGCCGGCUGGGAGAGACGGCUCGACCUGCUGUCCGGCAAGACGUUCUUGACUCCUAAUCGCCACCAGGCCAUCCAAGACGGCCACCAGGACCUCAACCUGCCUCCCACGGCAUCCACCGCCGCCGUUGCCGUCACCACCAACUCCUCCGCGUUCUGCACCCUCGAUAUGGUCCGCUGCGCCCUAGAGCGCGCCGCCGCCGCGCGGUCCGCCACCUCGCCGGACACGUCGUCCUCCUCGUUGGCGUCCACCUCAUCCUCGUCCUCCUCGCUGGGAAAGCGCAGCCGCUCGCCGCCUUCAAGCACGGCGUCGCCCGCCGCGAACCAGGCCAUGCGCGCGUGCGCCUGCCCGUCCUGCUUCACGUACGUGCUCAUCGCCGAGGCCGACCCCUGGUGCCCGCGGUGCGCAUCGAAGGUGCCGCCGCUCCCCAGUAAGCCCGCCGCCCACAGCAGCGGGAAGAAGCCUAGGUUUGACCUGAAUGCUGACGCCGAUGAGACCGAGUGA
rnacentral:rRNA from 1 species